CUUUAACCAUUGCUCUGCCCUGAGCUGAUUAUGUUGCUGAUACAAUGUUCCCAGAUUGAGCAGCCAUCUUGGACCAUGGUGUUGGAGCCAUGUGUCAAGAAAGCCAGCAACAACAGAAGAAGAAUCUAGGAGAGUAUGGAGACCAGAGUGGACCCAGG